CAUAUCGAACUAAGCAUGAGAACGAUGUGAAGAGAGCAGCCUUUGAAGAAGAACCAGUGGAACAAAUUGACUUAACCUGUUUCUCUGGUAAUUUACGUCGUGAUGACCGUGAUAAGGCCCGUGACUGCUGGCGAAUUUCUGAUGGGAACAACUUCCGAGUUCGUAGCAAGCAUUUUUGUUAUGACAAAACAAAGAUCCCUGCUGGAAAACAUUUAAUGGAUCUCGUUGCUGUUGAUUGGUUCAAAGACACAAAAAGAAUGGACCACGUUGCUAGGCGUCAAGGUUGUUCUGCACAAGUUGCUUCGGAGAAAGGGCUUUUCUCUCUGGUUUUUAAUCUGCAAGUACCUGGUUCAACACAUUAUAGUAUGGUAUUUUACUUUGUGACAAAGGAAUUAAUACCUGGUUCUCUCUUGCAACGGUUUGUUGAUGGUGAUGAUGAAUUCCGCAAUAGCAGGCUUAAACUUAUUCCAUCAGUUCCCAAGGGCUCAUGGAUUGUGCGCCAGAGUGUUGGAAGCACUCCUUGUUUAUUGGGAAAAGCAGUC
rnacentral:misc_RNA from 1 species